rnacentral:rRNA from 1 species
CCUACGUGAGGCAGCAGUGGGGAAUAUUGGACAAUGGGGGGAACCCUGAUCCAGCGACGCCGCGUGAGUGAAGAAGUAUUUCGGUAUGUAAAGCUCUAUCAGCAGGGAAGAAAGAAAUGACGGUACCUGACUAAGAAGCCCCGGCUAACUACGUGCCAGCAGCCGCGGUAAUACGUAGGGGGCAAGCGUUAUCCGGAUUUACUGGGUGUAAAGGGAGCGUAGACGGCGAUGCAAGUCUGAAGUGAAAGGCGGGGGCCCAACCCCCGGACUGCUUUGGAAACUGUAGGGCUGGAGUGCAGGAGAGGUAAGUGGAAUUCCUAGUGUAGCGGGGAAAUGCGUAGAUAUUAGGAGGAACACCAGUGGCGAAGGCGGCUUACUGGACUGUAACUGACGUUGAGGCUCGAAAGCGUGGGGAGCAAACAGGAUUAGAUACCCUAGUAGUC